GACGAACCGUGCGAACGUUAUUCGGAAUCACUGGGCUUAAAGGGCGCGUAGGCGGGCUGACAAGUCUGGGGUGAAAUCCCGCGGCUCAACCGUGGAACUGCCUUAGAUACUGUCGGCCUCGAGGAAGGUAGGGGCAUGCGGAACUGUAGGUGGAGCGGUGAAAUGCGUUGAUAUCUACAGGAACUCCGGUGGCGAAAGCGGCGUGCUGGACCUUUUCUGACGCUGAGGCGCGAAAGCUAGGGGAGCAAAGCGGG
rnacentral:rRNA from 1 species